GAGAAAGCAACACCGCCACAGUCACAAGCUGCUAUGCUGCAAAACCAGAGAGUGACUCUAACACAGUGCUCUCCCCAUUUCCUUAGGUUGGCUUUUUAGGAGUUGUGAACACACUCCAGGCAUUCUGAAUGGAGGCAUCCUGGCCCAACUCUGUUGCAGCCUCCCACACAAACACUACAGCCUGCUGAUCCUGUCGCUCCAUGAUGUCCUGCCAGUAUGUUCCUGAGGAAUGCAGUUUCAUGUAUCCUUUACUGUUGCUUCGAUCCAAUCUGGGCCAGCUGGGGUGUUUUCUUUGUUCAGCUUGGACAGUAAGUGUUGACGGACCCCUCUCUAAAUCCAAGGAUUUUGAAUGUGCAGACAGA